UUUUUUUUUUGUUUUAAUGAACUCCACUUAACUGAUUCUGUUAGGUUUCAGGUUCAGUUGACUCAACACUUUACCCAAUUGGUUGGGUCAAAUACAGUUUGACCCAACCAAUUGGGUAAAAAUCCAUUGCCCUCUUCACAAACCUCCAUUUUCAACUGGACUGUGACCUGAUCAGACAACACUGGAUUUCUCAAUUCAAAUAAAACAUGAUCUGAAAGAUGGAUGAGUUUGUAAAACAGAAGCUGACUGAAUGGAAACUUUCUGACCUAAUCCCUGCUUUUGAAGCUGAAAACAUUGAUGAAGAAAGCUUCUUUCUUUUGGAUGCUAACUGCCUGACAUCCCUGAUUCCUCACCUUGGUCCUCGUCUGAAAUUUCAACGUCAUUUUGCAAAAUUUCUUGAGAACAUCCGUGAGAUCCUCAGUGCCUCCCCUGAAGGUAGACCUGUGGUUAUCAGUCUUGAUGGAAAUCAGCAUAUAUCCAUUUGUGAAAGACGGUGCAUGGUCAGAACACUUGUGUCACACCUGAUGGAUCAAUAUGGAGAAAACCCAUCUUCAGACACUAAAGCAAUUCUGG